GACGAACGCUGGCGGCGUGCUUAACACAUGCAAGUCGAACGGUGACGAAUGGAGCUUGCUCUGUUCUGAUCAGUGGCGAACGGGUGAGUAACACGUGAGUAACCUGCCCCUGACUCUGGAAUAACUUCGGGAAACCGAAGCUAAUACCGGAUAUGACACAGAGCCGCAUGGUUUCUGUGUGGAAAGUUUUUCGGUUGGGGAUGGACUCGCGGCCUAUCAGCUUGUUGGUGAGGUAAUGGCUCACCAAGGCGACGACGGGUAGCCGGCCUGAGAGGGCGACCGGCCACACUGGGACUGAGACACGGCCCAGACUCCUACGGGAGGCAGCAGUGGGGAAUAUUGCACAAUGGGCGAAAGCCUGAUGCAGCGACGCCGCGUGAGGGAUGAAGGCCUUCGGUUGUAAACCUCUUUCAGUAGGAGAAGACGCAAGUGACGGUACCUACAGAAGAAGCACCGGCUAACUACGUGCCAGCAGCCGCGGUAACA
rnacentral:rRNA from 1 species